GUUCUUGCCACAAAAAUUAAUCAGUGCAGCGUACUUAACGACCACCACGGCCACGACCGCGUCCACGUCCACGGCCACGUCCCCUUCCCACAGCCCUCCCUGAAAUUUUAAAAGGUAAAAGCAAUUAGAAGAUUCAUGACAUUUAUUCACAAUAUCAAAGAUCGUAAAAUGGUAAAAACUUUGUUCUCAAAAGAAAGGCCUAAUACAAGGUUGUCUUACCUGCAGUUGGCUUCUUGGGCUUGACCCUAGGAGUCUCUUCAACCAGCAGAGUCUCAAGAUUCAAGCUGUCAGGAAGGAUGUAGUAUCGAAUAUUGUUACCCCUCACACUGAGAUGAUCAAGAGUCACUGGAUUCUUCCCCCUGAGUGUAAGUUUC
rnacentral:lncRNA from 1 species